UGGCAGCUGUUAUUGUAUGAGGUGGACAUCUUGGUACCUGGAACACCUGAGAUGCUAUGAAGUCUGCAAGAACUACUCUGCAAAGCUGCUUGUAGUCCAGCCAGAGGAACUCAACGAUUACUUCCCCCUGUCAGCUUAUAUGGUGCGAGGCAGACUGUUGAUCCCUCCAAAAGCAUUUCUGCUACAUUGAGUGUCCAGAAUCCAAAAUGCUACUGAGAAUCAUUCUAAACAAAGAUG